rnacentral:rRNA from 1 species
CAGCCGCCGCGGUAAUACGAAGGGUGCAAGCGUUAAUCGGAAUUACUGGGCGUAAAGCGCGUGUAGGCGGGAUGGUACGUCGGCCGUUGAAAUCCCCCGGCUCAACCGGGGAAGUGGCGCCGAUACGGCCACCCUUGAGGAACGUAGGGGGACCUGGAACUUCCGGUGGAGCGGUGAAAUGCGUUGAGAUCGGAAGGAACGCCCGUGGCGAAAGCGAGGUCCUGGACGUUUACUGACGCUGAGACGCGAGAGCCAGGGGAGCAAACGGGAUUAGAUACCCCGGUAGUCCCUGUCUCUUAUU